rnacentral:rRNA from 1 species
CAAUAGCGUAUAUUAAAGUUGUUGCAGUUAAAAAGCUCGUAGUUGAAUUUCUGGCGGGCGCGCCGGUCUUCCAAGUGUUGUACUGGGCGCAGUCCGCCAUCCUUGUGGAGAGGGCUCGCAUUGAGUUGCGUGUCGGAUCUGCAUCAUUUACUGUGAAAAAAUUAGAGUGUUUAAAGCAGGCUGUCGCUUGAAUACAUUAGCAUGGAAUAAUAAGAUAGGACUUCGGUCUAUUUUGUUGGUUGCGGACCGAGGUAAUGAUUAAUAGGGAUAGUUGGGGGUAUUCAUAUUUAAUUGUCAGAGGUGAAAUUCUUGGAUUUAUGAAAGAUGAACAACUGCGAAAGCAUUUACCAAGGAUGUCUUCAUUAA